GAAAGAUGGUUCUGCUAUCACUCUUGGAUGGACCUGCGGUGCAUUAGCUAGUUGGUAAGGUAACGGCUUACCAAGGCAAUGAUGCAUAGCCGAGUUGAGAGACUGAUCGGCCACAUUGGGACUGAGACACGGCCCAAACUCCUACGGGAGGCAGCAGUAGGGAAUCUUCCACAAUGGACGAAAGUCUGAUGGAGCAACGCCGCGUGAGUGAAGAAGGGUUUCGGCUCGUAAAGCUCUGUUGGUAGUGAAGAAAGAUAGAGGUAGUAACUGGCCUUUAUUGACGGUAAUUACUUAGAAAGUCACGGCUAACUACGUGCCAGCAGCCGCGGCAAUACGUAGGUGGCAAGUGUUGUCCGGAUUUAUUGGGCGUAAAGCGAGUGCAGGCGGUUCAAUAAGUCUGAUGUGAAAGCCUUCGGCUCAACCGGAGAAUUGCAUCAGAAACUGUUGAACUUGAGUGCAGAAGAGGAGAGUGGAACUCCAUGUGUAGCGGUGGAAUGCGUAGAUAUAUGGAAGAACACCAGUGGCGAAGGCGGCUCUCUGGUCUGCAACUGACGCUGAGGCUCGAAAGCAUGGGUAGCGAACAGGAUUAGAUACCCUGGUAGUCCAUGCCGUAAACGAUGAGUGCUAAGUGUUGGGAGGUUUCCGCCUCUCA
rnacentral:rRNA from 1 species